GGAGCACCCCCUCACCCCGUCCCCCUCUCCCCGGUCAGCAGGGCUUAUCCCUUUACUGACAAAUCUAGUGACCAAAGAGUGAGGACCCCAAACAGCCAGCGGUCUAUCCCUCGUCCACGCAAGCGGCCCGGUCACAGCCAAGUCCAGAGGGACCUGAGCGCCUUACACAUUUUCCGUGCCAGACACACACCCUUGGCACGCCCACUGGUGCUGCUCACGAUGAUCCUCCCAGUCGCGCCGGAGACGGCGAGCCCGGCAGUCAUUGAAGACCAUUGCCCUAGCACUCCUGACCCACCUGCCACGCUCUCUGAGUUAGCUUCCUGCAGAACUGUGGCUUCCCCCUCUGUGAAACGACCCACAGACGGUGAACGUACUCACCAGCAAACCCAAGUAUCUGGUUGGUUUGCCAGCAGUUGCAUUUUUCAUGAAUGGCAGCCCCAGGAGAGCAGAGAUUUGUCAGUUUUGUGCACAGACCUGUCCCCCAGAGCCCGGAGCAGUGGACGCUGUGGAAACUCUGCGGGCAAAUACUUCCUGAAGGAAUGAAGCAGCACAUUCUGUGGCCGAUUGCCUUAUCUAGCUGAAUCCCGCGCCUCAGAAGUGGCUACCCAUUGAUUUCCACCCUGCUUUGAGGGCCACGAGCCUACAAGUGUAUUGACAUUUUCAGAAGAUCCCCCCCCCCCCAUCUAUGAGGUGGUUUCGCAUAAAGCCCAAAA
rnacentral:lncRNA from 1 species